UACAGGGGGGGCAAGCGUUGUUCGGAAUUACUGGGCGUAAAGGGCUCGUAGGUGGCCAACUAAGUCAGACGUGAAAUCCCUCAGCUUAACUGGGGAACUGCGUCUGAUACUGGAUGGCUUGAGUUUGGGAGAGGGAUGCGGAAUUCCAGGUGUAGCGGUGAAAUGCGUAGAUAUCUGGAGGAACACCGGUGGCGAAGGCGACUCUUUGGCCUGUAACUGACGCUGAGGCGCGAAAGCGUGGGGAGCAAACAGGG
rnacentral:rRNA from 1 species